CUACGGGGCGCUGCAGUCGAGAAUCAUUGACAAUGUACGAAAGUAUGAUCAUGCGACGCCGCGUGGAGGAAGACGGCCUUCGGGUUGUAAACUCCUGUCAGCAGGGAGGAAGAAUGGUUUUUCUAAUACAAUGGCCAUUUGACGGUACCUGCAGAGGAAGUCACGGCUAACUCUGUGCCAGCAGCCGCGGUAAUACAGAGGUGGCGAACGUUGUUCGGAUUUACUGGGCGUAAAGGGUCCGCAGGCGGCUCGGUGUGUCGGAUGUGAAAGCUCACAGCCCAACUGUGGAAUUGCAUUCGAAACUGCCGGGCUAGAGUACUGGAGGGGAGAAGGGAACACGUGGUGUAGCGGUGACAUGCGUAGAUAUCAAGUGGAACACCGGUGGCGAAGGCGCUUCUCUGGACAGAUACUGACGCUCAUGGACGAAAGUUUGGGUAGCGAAAGGGAUUAGAUACCCCCGUAGUC
rnacentral:rRNA from 1 species